rnacentral:rRNA from 1 species
CCUACGGGCGGCAGCAGUGAGGAAUAUUGGUCAAUGGGAGCAAUUCUGAACCAGCCAAGCCGCGUGCAGGAAGACGGCCCUAUGGGUUGUAAACCUCUUUUGGCGGGGAACAAAACCCGGGACGUGUCCCGGACUGCGUGUAUCCGAAGAAAAAGCAUCGGCGAAUUCCGUGCCAGCAGCCGCGGUAUUACGGAGGAUGCGAGGGUUAUCCGGAUUUAUUGGGUUUAAAGGGUGCGUAGGCGGUCCGUUAAGUCAGCGGUAAAAUUGCGGGGCUCAACCCCGUCGAGCCGUUGAAACUGGCAGCCUUGAGUUGGCGAGAAGUACGCGGAAUGCGCGGUGUAGCGGUGAAAUGCAUAGAUAUCGUGCAGAACUCCGAUCGCGAAGGCAGCGGACCGGCGCCAGACUGACGCUGAGGCACGAAAGCGUGGGGAUCGAACAGGAUUAGAUACCCGGGUAGUC